AUUGAACGCUGGCGGCAUGCUUUACACAUGCAAGUCGAACGGUAACAGGCCGCAAGGUGCUGACGAGUGGCGAACGGGUGAGUAAUGCAUCGGAACGUGCCCAGUCGUGGGGGAUAACUACUCGAAAGAGUAGCUAAUACCGCAUACGAUCUAUGGAUGAAAGCGGGGGACCGUAAGGCCUCGCGCGAUUGGAGCGGCCGAUGGCAGAUUAGGUAGUUGGUGGGGGAAAGGCGCACCAAGCCAACGAUCUGUAGCUGGUCUGAGAGGACGACCAGCCACACUGGGACUGAGACACGGCCCAGACUCCUACGGGAGGCAGCAGUGGGGAAUUUUGGACAAUGGGCGCAAGCCUGAUCCAGCAAUGCCGCGUGCAGGAAGAAGGCCUUCGGGUUGUAAACUGCUUUUGUACGGAACGAAACGGCUCUGGUUAAUACCCGGGGCUAAUGACGGUACCGUAAGAAUAAGCACCGGCUAACUACGUG
rnacentral:rRNA from 1 species